CACGCGGAUAAUUCUACGGUAGGCUACUGUUGUAGCACUUGCAUAAUCAACAUAAAUAUGUGCAUGCGGAGCUCCAACUAAGCUAUUUUCAAACCAACUUGACGAGGAAACUAUACAAGCACGAUAUGCUGUAUUGCUAUCGUAACCGCUUGACUUACAGAUGAAGCAGGUUACCGGUGUUUCAUUUUUCGGAAGACUAGUGAAUGGAAAGGAUGCAGCUUUUUAGUUCGUUUUGCAGUUUGUCUCUUGGAAUUAGAAGAGGAUACCCUGGAAAGAAAGGGUACUGGGGUAAACGACGAUGAGAAUAUAGAAUUUGAUAGCGCACAAUGGAUACGUAUCUGACUGUAAGCUGAAAUAGUAAGCUGAUGAGUUGGAACUGGGCUUCAUCACUGGCCAGGAGGAGAAGUCACCUUGCAGCAUUCAUCUUAGGGAGGAGAAAGGGAGACAUUUGAUUGGUUCUUGCCUGGAGGGAGAAGACAAGCCUCUACUUGGAGCCGUUUCACAUGGACAUCCCUUCCACUGUCUGACAGUGGGGAGAGGGCCUCACCCUCAUCCUCAGACAUGGACAGGCUUACAGGAGCAGCAGCCACAUCCCGAACAGGAGCAGCAGACUCAGGAAGCAGCAACACAAG
ensembl:lncRNA